GAAUUCGCCCUUAGAGUUUGAUCCUGGCUCAGGACGAACGCUGGCGGCGCGCCUAACACAUGCAAGUCGAACGGAGCUUAGAGAGCUUGCUUUUUAAGCUUAGUGGCGAACGGGUGAGUAACGCGUGAGUAACCUGCCCUAGAGUGGGGGACAACAGUUGGAAACGACUGCUAAUACCGCAUAAGCCCACGGUACCGCAUGGUACUGAGGGGAAAGGAUUUAUUCGCUUUAGGAUGGACUCGCGUCCAAUUAGCUAGUUGGUGAGGUAACGGCCCACCAAGGCGACGAUUGGUAGCCGGACUGAGAGGUUGAACGGCCACAUUGGGACUGAGACACGGCCCAGACUCCUACGGGAGGCAGCAGUGGGGGAUAUUGCACAAUGGGGGAAACCCUGAUGCAGCGACGCCGCGUGGAGGAAGAAGGUUUUCGGAUUGUAAACUCCUGUCAUUAGGGACGAUAAUGACGGUACCUAACAAGAAAGCACCGGCUAACUACGUGCCAGCAGCCGCGGUAAAACGUAGGGUGCAAGCGUUGUCCGGAAUUACUGGGUGUAAAGGGAGCGCAGGCGGGAAGACAAGUUGGAAGUGAAAACCAUGGGCUCAACCCAUGAAUUGCUUUCAAAACUGUUUUUCUUGAGUAGUGCAGAGGUAGAUGGAAUUCCCGGUGUAGCGGUGGAAUGCGUAGAUAUCGGGAGGAACACCAGUGGCGAAGGCGGUCUACUGGGCACCAACUGACGCUGAGGCUCGAAAGCAUGGGUAGCAAACAGGAUUAGAUACCCUGGUAGUCCAUGCCGUAAACGAUGAUUACUAGGUGUUGGGGGAUUGACCCCCUCAGUGCCGCAGUUAACACAAUAAGUAAUCCACCUGGGGAGUACGACCGCAAGGUUGAAACUCAAAGGAAUUGACGGGGGCCCGCACAAGCAGUGGAGUAUGUGGUUUAAUUCGAAGCAACGCGAAGAACCUUACCAAGGCUUGACAUCCCUCUGACGUAUGCAGAGAUGUAUAUUUUCUUCGGAACAGAGGAGACAGGUGGUGCAUGGUUGUCGUCAGCUCGUGUCGUGAGAUGUUGGGUUAAGUCCCGCAACGAGCGCAACCCUUAUCUUUAGUAGCCAGCAUAAAGAUGGGCACUCUAAAGAGACUGCCGUGGAUAACACGGAGGAAGGUGGGGAUGACGUCAAAUCAUCAUGCCCCUUAUGUCUUGGGCAACACACGUGCUACAAUGGACGGAACAAAGUGAGGCGAAGCCGCGAGGUGGAGCGAAGCACAAAAACCCGUUCUCAGUUCGGAUUGUAGUCUGCAACUCGACUACAUGAAGCUGGAAUCGCUAGUAAUCGCGAAUCAGAAUGUCGCGGUGAAUACGUUCCCGGGCCUUGCACACACCGCCCGUCA
rnacentral:rRNA from 1 species